AUUGAACGCUGGCGGCAGGCCUAACACAUGCAAGUCGAGCGGAUGAAGGGAGCUUGCUCCUGGAUUCAGCGGCGGACGGGGGAGUAAUGCCUAGGAAUCUGCCUGGUAGUGGGGGAUAACGUCCGGAAACGGGCGCUAAUACCGCAUACGUCCUGAGGGAGAAAGUGGGGGAUCUUCGGACCUCACGCUAUCAGAUGAGACUAGGUCGGAUUAGCUAGUUGGUGGGGUAAGGGCCUACCAAGGCGACGAUCCGUAACUGGUCUGAGAGGAUGAUCAGUCACACUGGAACUGAGACACGGUCCAGACUCCUACGGGAGGCAGCAGUGGGGAAUAUUGGACAAUGGGCGAAAGCCUGAUCCAGCCAUGCCGCGUGUGUGAAGAAGGUCUUCGGAUUGUAAAGCACUUUAAGUUGGGAGGAAGGGCAGUAAGUUAAUACCUUGCUGUUUUGACGUUACCAACAGAAUAAGCACCGGCUAACUUCGUG
rnacentral:rRNA from 1 species